UUUCCGUAGGUGAACCUGCGGAAGGAUCAUUACCGAGUGAGGGCCCUCUGGGUCCAACCUCCCACCCGUGUUUAUUCUACCUUGUUGCUUUGGCGGGCCCGCCUCACGGCCGCCGGGGGGCUUCUGCCCCCGGGCCCGUGCCCGCCGAAGACACCUUAGAACUCUGUCUGAAGAUUGUAGUCUGAGUAAAAAUAUGAAUUAUUUAAAACUUUCAACAACGGAUCUCUUGGUUCCG
rnacentral:misc_RNA from 1 species